GACAGAGGGUGCAAACGUUGCUCGGAAUCACUGGGCGUAAAGAGCUCGUAGGCGGUGUGUCGCGUCGGCCGUGAAAACCUGCAGCUUAACUGUGGGCUUGCGGUCGAUACGGGCAUCACUGGAGUUCGGCAGGGGAGACUGGAAUUCCUGGUGUAGCGGUGAAAUGCGCAGGUAUCAGGAGGAACACCGGUGGCGAAGGCGGGUCUCUGGGCCGAUACUGACGCUGAGGAGCGAAAGCGUGGGGAGCGAACAGG
rnacentral:rRNA from 1 species